ensembl:lncRNA
UUUUUUUUUUUUUUUUUUGGUUUUGAACCUUUCAUGAGAAAAAUAUGUAUACACCAUUGAGCUCAAGAACACUGUGUGUUUGGUGUGUCAUUGGCUCAAGGGUUGGGGACAUGCAUGGCAGAAUUCGGAAACGGCAUACAUCAACAAAAAUACACAUGGUCAUAACAAGAAAAACUGGCGCCUGGCACAAUCAACUCUCAGUUUCCUCUUCACUCAGCAGCAUGUUGGGGAUCCCGUGGCUGAUGGGGAACAUAUGUCCAGACUCUGGGCCCUGCAAGGUGCCCUCCAUCACUUCCACCUCCAGCAGCAGAUGGUGCGUGGUCCUCAGAAACUCUUUGUUCUCCUCAUAUCCCUCAACCGGCCCUUUAGGCACCUGGAGCAGGCGCAAGUUAUCAGCCACCUCCAGGAACGCCGCCCACUCCACCUUGGGUAUCAUAGGCCCACGAAGUGGGGGUUGAACUCCACAGGGCAGAUGCGGACUUGGCUGGCCUGGAGGCGCAGGGGGAAGCCAUGGGGCCCCAUCUCCCACAUACGCGAGCUCAGCAGAUUCUUAAUGUGUGUUCUUUCAGACCAUUUUCUAUGUGUCUGUAAGCACAGAUAACACAUGUAUGUGCACACACAUGCUACCCCAUAGCAAUUUUUUUUAAACUUAAAAAAAAAACCAUAAAUGGGAUCAUAUUCUAUUGGUCCACUUGUUUUUGCAUUUAACUAUAUUUUCAAGAUCUUUCCAUGUCAGUACAUAUAAAUCUUACUUAUUCUGUUUGUUUGUUUAUUUAUUUAUUUGAGACAGGAUCUUGCUCUGUUGCCCAGGUUAGAGCUGGAAUGCUGUGGCAUAAUCACAGCUCACUGCAGCCUCAACCUCCUGGGCUCAAGUGAUCCUCCCACCUCAGCCUCCUGAGUAGGUAGGACUACAGGUGUACACCACCAGGCCUGGCUAAUUUUUUAAAAUUUCUUGUAGAGAUGGGCUCUCAUUAUGUUGUCCAGGGUGGUUUCAAACUCCUGGGUUCAAGCGAUCCUCCUGUCUCAGCCUCCCAAAGUGUUAAAAUUACAGGUGUGAUCCACUGUGCCUGGUCUACUUUAUUCUUUUUUUUUUUUUUUUGAGACAGAGUCUCACUCUAUCACCCAGGCUGGAGAACAGUGGCAUGAUCUUGGCUCACUGCAACCUCCAUCUCCAGGGUUCAAGCGAUUCUCCUGCCUCAGUCUCCUGAGUAGCUGCGAUUACAGGCAUGUGCCACCAAGCCCAGCUAAUUUUUGUAUUUGUAGUAGAGACACAGUUUCACCAUACUGGCCAGGCUGCUUUCAAACUCCUGACCUCGUGAUCCACCCGCUUCAGCCUCCCAAAGUGCUGGGAUUACAGAUGUGGGCCACCGUGCCCUGCCACUCUUUUUAAGGCCUACACAACAUUCCAUGGUAUAAACAUUUUACAAUUUAUCAAGCUAUUUCCUAUUGAAGCAUAUUCCUAUAUAUCUAACUUUUCUUUAUGAUCAAGAAUGUAGGACUCUUAUGUAAUAUAUUUGUGUAUAUGUGAGAGUAUUUGGGGGCAUAGGUUCUAAGAAAGAGAAUUAUUUAGAUUUCUGAUACAUCUGGAAUUUAUUUUUCAAACUUUAUAUUUUGAAAUAAGUUCAAACUUACAGAAAAGUUGCAAGAAUGACACAAUGAACUCCCAUAACGUCUUCACCUUGAGCCUCUAAUUGUUAUCAUUUCAUUACAUUUGCUUCAUCUCUUCUCUCUCCUCCACCCUACCUAUACACUAUAUACAUACUAGAUAUUUUUUCUGAUGCAUUUGAGACUAAUUGAGGAAACGAAGCCCUUAACUCUAAAUACUUCAGUGUGUA